rnacentral:rRNA from 1 species
AUUGAACGCUAGCGGGAUGCCUUACACAUGCAAGUCGAACGAGUGGCGGACGGGUGAGUAAUAUAUCGGAACCUGCCCAAUAGCGGGGGAUAACUACUCGCAAGAGUGGCUAAUACCGCAUCCCAUCGACUCGGCCGCUAUCGGAUUAGCUGGUUGGUGGGGUAAAGGCUCACCAGGGCCACGAUCCCUAGCUGGUCUGAGAGGACGACCAGCCACAUUGGGACUGAGAAACGGCCCAGACGCCUACGGGAGGAAGCAGUGGGGAAUUUUGGACAAUGGGGGAAACCCGGAUGCAGCCAUCCCGCGUGUAUGAGAAGGCCUUCGGGUUGUAAAGUACUUUUGGCAGGGAAGCGGUAUCUGCAGAAUAAGCACCGGCUAACUACGUGCCAGCAGCCGCGGUAAUAC